UACGUAGGGUGCGAGCGUUGUCCGGAAUUACUGGGCGUAAAGGGCUCGUAGGUGGUUUGUCGCGUUGUUCGUGAAAACUCACAGCUUAACUGUGGGCGUGCGGGCGAUACGGGCAGACUGGAGUACUGCAGGGGAGACUGGAAUUCCUGGUGUAGCGGUGGAAUGCGCAGAUAUCAGGAGGAACACCGGUGGCGAAGGCGGGUCUCUGGGCAUUUCCUGACGCUGAGGCGCGAAAGCGUGGGAGCAAACGGG
rnacentral:rRNA from 1 species